rnacentral:tRNA from 1 species
GGCAGGUUAGCUCAGCUGGUUAGAGCGUGGUGCUAAUAACGCCAAGGUCUUGGGUUCGAUCCCCAUACUGGCCA